UAAGAGAUCGAGCGCCCGGAUUAGCCGGUCGCGAGUUCCCAUUCAAAUUACCUGCAUCAAGCGCGCCAGCCGAACCCCGGGUCUGUAGCUCAGUUGGUUAGAGCGCACCCCUGAUAAGGGUGAGGUCGGAAGUUCGACUCUUCCCAGGCCCACCAUUUAGUUGGGGCCAUAGCUCAGCUGGGAGAGCGCCUGCUUUGCAAGCAGGAGGUCAUCGGUUCGAUCCCGAUCGGCUCCACCAGCCCCUUCCGGCGGUUUUCGGUUUUUCGGCCCGUGUGAUGAGCGUUGCGUCCAGGACAGGGCGCAAUGCUGAUCGCACGGGCGCACAGGCGCCCAGCUCUUUAACAAAAAAACGAAAUGUAGAUAACGCAAUGCAUCAACGCGAUGAUUCAAUUUGUUGAAUCGCGUUUUGUAGUAUGUGUCGCAUUCGCGAGAGAUCAGCAAGGAAGAUAGCCCCUGGCUCAUUGGGGUUAUAUGGUCAAGCGACUAAGCGCACAUGGUGGAUGCCUUGGCGGCAGAAGGCGAUGAAGGACGUGGUAGCCUGCGAUAAGCCUCGGGGAGCCGGCAAACUGGCUUUGAUCCGGGGAUUU
rnacentral:misc_RNA from 1 species